rnacentral:snRNA from 1 species
GUGCUCGCUUUGGCAGCAAAUAUACUAAAAUUGGAACUAUAGAGAGAAGAUUACCAUGGCCCCUGCACAAGGAUGACAUGCAAAUCUGUGAAGCGUUCCCUAUUUUU